UGGAAACUAUUAUUUCUCAUUGUUUAGAGAUGAGGAAACUGAGGCUCAGAAAUGUGGGCAGAUUCAAGACAGCUGUAAACUCUGAUGGCACCUCCAUGAAGAAGUGGAGCCUAUGACACCGCCUUGAAUCUGGGGGGAAGUUAAGAAAAUAAAAGAGGAAGCCAACUGAGAAAGGCCACAUAGAAGAUUUGAAGCUUCAGGAGUAGGAGCAAGGAGAACAAAUCCUCAAGGCAUGUUGCUUGCUUGGCUAACAAUACAUUUCACUUUAAAAUUCA